GACAGAGGGGGCAAGCGUUGCUCGGAAUUACUGGGCGUAAAGGGCGCGUAGGCGGAAUGGCAAGUCGGUCGUGAAAUCCUUCGGCUCAACCGAAGAACGUCGAUCGAAACUGCCGUUCUUGAGGAUUGCAGAGGAGACUGGAAUUCCCGGUGUAGUGGUGAAAUGCGUAGAGAUCAGCAGGAACACCAAGGCCGAAGGGACCUACCUGGGCAGUAUCUGACACUCAAGUGCGACAGCGUGGGGAGCGAACCGG
rnacentral:rRNA from 1 species